rnacentral:rRNA from 1 species
GGGUGCAAGCGUUAAUCGGAAUUACUGGGCGUAAAGCGUGCGUAGGUGGUUUGUUAAGUCAGAUGUGAAAGCCCCGGGCUCAACCUGGGAACUGCAUUUGAAACUGGUAAACUAGAGUAUAGGAGAGGAAAGUGGAAUUUCUGGUGUAGCGGUGAAAUGCGUAGAUAUUAGAAGGAACAUCAAUGGCGAAGGCAGCUUUCUGGACUAAUACUGACACUGAGGUACGAAAGCGUGGGUAGCAAACAGGAUUAGAUACCCUGGUAGUCCACGCCGUAAACGAUGAUAACUAGUCGUUGAGGGGGAUUACCCUUUAGUGGCGAAGCUAACGCGUUAAGUUAUCCGCCUGGGGAGUACGGCCGCAAGGUUAAAACUCAAAGGAAUUGACGGGACCCGCACAAGCGGUGGAGCAUGUGGUUU